UGGGGAAUCUUGGUCAAUGGGCGCAAGCCUGAACCAGCGACGCCGCGUGAGUGAUGAAGGCCUUCGGGUUGUAAAGCUCUGUGGGGAGAGACGAAAGAAUCGGUUCUAACAGGACCGAAGUUGACGGUAUCUCCUUAGCAAGCACCGGCUAACUCUGUGCCAGCAGCCGCGGUAAGACAGAGGGUGCAAACGUUGCUCGGAAUCACUGGGCGUAAAGGGCGUGUAGGCGGGAAUGUAAGUCGGGCGUGAAAUCCCUAGGCUCAACCGAGGAACUGCACUCGAAACUGCGUUUCUUGAGUAUCGGAGAGGAAAGCGGAAUACCUGGUGUAGAGGUGAAAUUCGUAGAUAUCAGGUGGAACACCAGUGGCGAAGGCGGCUUUCUGGACGAUAACUGACGCUGAGACGCGAAAGCGUGGGGAGCAAACAG
rnacentral:rRNA from 1 species